GGUAUCAAAGUCGGCAUGCCAACUCAAC
rnacentral:sRNA from 1 species